GACGAACGCUGGCGGCGUGCUUAACACAUGCAAGUCGAACGGAAAGGCUCCAGCUUGCUGGAGUACUCGAGUGGCGAACGGGUGAGUAACACGUGGGUAAUCUGCCCUGCACUCUGGGAUAAGCCUGGGAAACUGGGUCUAAUACUGGAUAUGACCUUUCUCCUUAUGGGGUUUGGUGGAAAGUUUUUCGGUGUAGGAUGAGCCCGCGGCCUAUCAGCUUGUUGGUGGGGUGAUGGCCUACCAAGGCGACGACGGGUAGCCGGCCUGAGAGGGUGAUCGGCCACAUUGGGACUGAGAUACGGCCCAGACUCCUACGGGAGGCAGCAGUGGGGAAUAUUGCACAAUGGGCGGAAGCCUGAUGCAGCGACGCCGCGUGAGGGAUGACGGCCUUCGGGUUGUAAACCUCUUUCAGCAGGGACGAAGCGUAAGUGAGGGUACCUGAAGAAGAAGCACCGGCUAACUAGGUG
rnacentral:rRNA from 1 species